rnacentral:rRNA from 1 species
UACGUAGGGUGCAAGCGUUGUCCGGAAUUAUUGGGCGUAAAGAGCUCGUAGGCGGUCUGUCGCGUCUGCUGUGAAAACUCGAGGCUCAACCUCGAGACGUCGGUUGAAACCGUCUGGCUAGAGUCCGGAAGAGGAGAGUGGAAUUCCCGGUGUAGCGGUGAAAUGCGCAGAUAUCGGGAAGAACACCCGUGGCGAAGGCGGCUCUCUGGGACGGUACUGACGCUGAGACGCGAAAGCGUGGGGAGCGAACAGG